UACAGAGGGGGCAAGCGUUGUUCGGAAUUACUGGGCGUAAAGCGUGCGCAGGCGGCUUUGCAAGACAGAUGUGAAAUCCCCGGGCUUAACCUGGGAACUGCAUUUGUGACUGCAUGGCUGGAGUGCGGGAGAGGGGGAUGGAAUUCCGCGUGUAGCAGUGAAAUGCGUAGAUAUGCGGAGGAACACCGAUGGCGAAGGCAAUCCCCUGGGCCUGCACUGACGCUCAUGCACGAAAGCGUGGGGAGCAAACAGG
rnacentral:rRNA from 1 species